rnacentral:lncRNA from 1 species
CGGAGGGGCAGAGACACCAGAGCACCCACUUGCAGCGCUCACUUAUUAAAACACCUGAAGAGGAAGCAGAGCCUUGAAGAGUGUAAUCUACUUGAACGCCUGCGUUCUCAGGAAGCGAGGCAGGCUACCAGCCCUCUCGGAAACUGAGGCAACUCUCCAUAAAAUCAGUAGGGAAGGUGAGCUGGGAUUCAGAUGGUGGCCUGAACUCUUCACCAGGACUCUUCACUGACCCCUGGGCGUUCCAGGGUCUUCUUUGUGCAAAGCAAACCCUAAGGACGCCAUAAUAUCUCUUACCCAUGCUGGGUACAAUGGGUUUCUAGAAUUAAGAGGAAGGGGAGGAAAACUCUAAGUUAACUUCACCAACUAUACUCAUGGGACAAUAGAAUGAGCUGCCUUGUGAAGAUGUGACCGCAUCACCACUGGAGGUAUACUAUAGACUGAUUGUUCAUCUAAAGGAAAUGUAGGAAAAUAAUUCCUAGAUUUGGUUGGAUUUUGGAGUAAAUUGCCUCACAGAAUACUUCCAGCAGUAACAUUCUAUGACAUAACUAAAUACGUUAUCCUCAAAUUUAUCUUUAAAAAAUAUAAACCGCAAUUUUCCAAAAGUAUUUACAAACAACUAG